CAGGUCUCUGGCAGCCAGGUUCGCCCUGGCUUCUGGGGUGAGUCCCCACGCUGGAGCAGCUCCCAGAGCCAAGCAAGCUUCAGCUCGGGCGACUUCUGCAAUCAAGCGGCUGCUGCAGACUCCGCAGCACCAGCUCUGCGAUGGGACACCUGUGGCUCUCAGGGACCUGGUUUCUCUUUGGGCUGCUUUGGUGUGCAGCAGAUUCCCACAAAGGUAGCUCUGAGACAAUUCCCAAAGUGACAGAAGUUAUACCUAAAUAUGGCAGCAUAAACGGAGCAACAAGACUGACCAUCAAGGGAGAAGGUUUUUCUCAAGCAAGUCAGUUCAACUAUGGAGCUGACAAUACUGAAUUGGGAAACCAUGUGCAAUUAGUUUCUUCUUUCCAGUCGAUUACUUGUGAUGUGGAAAAAGAUUCAAGUCAUUCAACUCAAAUUACAUGCUAUACUCGAGCAAUGCCAGAAGACACCUACUCUGUUCGAGUCAGUGUGGAUGGAGUGCCAGUUGCAGAAAAUAACACUUGUAAAGGGGUUGCCAGCAGCUGGGCAUGUAGUUUCAGUACAAAAAGUUUUAGAACCCCCACAAUAAGGAGCAUCACACCUUUAUCUGGAACUCCAGGUACAUUAAUAACAAUUAAAGGCAGGCUCUUCACUGAUGUCUAUGGAAGUAAUACAGCACUGAGCUCAAAUGGAAGAAAUGUUAGGAUUCUAAGAAUUUAUAUCGGAGGAAUGCCCUGUGAACUCCUCAUACCACAUUCUGAUGAUUUGUAUGGUCUAAAACUCGAUCAUGCCAAUGGAGAUACAGGGUCUGUGACAUGUAAGACCACUGGGACUUACAUUGGUCACCACAAUGUCAGCUUCAUCUUAGAUAGUGAUUAUGGAAGGAGUUUCCCAGAGAAAAUGACAUAUUUUGUUUCAUCUCUCAAUAAAAUUUCAAUGUUUCAAACAUAUCCAGAGGUCGUGAUGGUCUCACCAUCAAAAGGCAGCACUGAAGGUGGCACCCUAUUGACAAUACACGGGCACUUCUUCGAUCAGACUGAUCUCCCAGUGAGAGUGCUAGUUGGAGGUCAAGCCUGUGCUAUUUUGAAUGUCACAGAAAAUACUAUAUACUGCAAGACUCCUCCCAAACCACACAUCCUCAAAGCUACAUAUCCAGGUGGAAGAGGCCUAAAGGUUGAGGUCUGGAAUAAUAGCCGGCCAGCACAUCUUGAAGAUAUACUUGAAUACAAUGAGCAUACCCCAGGGUACAUGGGUGCCACUUGGACGGAUUCUGCUUCCUAUGUUUGGCCUAUAGAACAAGACACAUUUGUUGCACGCAUCAGUGGAUUUUUGGUGCCCCCAGAUUCUGAUGUUUACAGGUUUUAUAUCAGAGGUGAUGACCGCUAUGCUAUUUAUUUCAGCCAAACUGGGCGCACAGAAGACAAGGUGAGGAUUGCGUAUUACUCUGGAAAUGCCAACACUUAUUUUUCAAAUUCAACACAAAGAUCAGAUGAGAUUCAUCUUCAGAAAGGAAAAGAGUAUUACAUUGAAAUCUUGCUGCAAGAGUAUACAUUAAGUGCUUUUGUUGAUGUUGGACUGUACCAGUAUAAAAAUGUCUUUACUGAACAGCAGACAGGAGAUGCACUAAAUGAAGAACAAGUCAUCAAAUCUCAGUCAACAGUUGUCCCCGAAGUACAGAUUAUAACAUUGGAAAACUGGGAGACAGCUGAUGUGACUAAUGAAGUCCAGCAGGUCACAGUAACCAGCCCGUGUGUGGGAGCUAACUCAUGUUCCCUUUCCCAAUACAGAUUCAUCUACAACAUGGAAAAGACUGUCUGGCUGCCCGCUGAUGCUUCUGACUUCACGUUGAAAUCAGCUUUAAAUGACCUUUGGUCUAUAAAGCCAGAUUCAGUUCAAGUGACCAGCAAGAGGGAUCUCCAGAGCUAUAUCUACACAAUAACCUUUGUAUCAACUAGAGGAGACUUUGAUCUGCUUGGUUAUGAAGUAUUUGAAGGAAGUAAUGUCACGCUGAGUAUCACAGAACAAACCAAAGGAAAACCCAAUUUGGAGACGUUUACAUUAAACUGGGAUGGGAUUGCUUCUAAGCCCCUUACCCCAGAGUCAUCGGAAGCUGAAUUUCAGGUAGCAGUGGAAGAGAUGGUGAGUGCCAAGUGUCCGCCGGAAAUAGCACAUUUGGAAGAAGGAUUUCUAGUGAAAUACUUCAGAGACUACGAAACUGAUUUUGAACUGGAGCAUAUUAAUAGAGGGCAGAAGACGGCCGAAACAGAUGCAUAUUGUGGCCGUUACUCCCUGAAAAACCCAGCUGUACUUUUUGACUCGACAGAUGUUAAGCCAAACAAAUCACCAUAUGGAGACAUUUUAUUAUUUCCUUAUAAUCAGUUGUGUUUAGCAUACAAAGGAUCUCUGGCCAACUUCAUUGAUCUCAAGUUCAAGUACCAAGACAGUGGCAAGAUCAUUAGAAGUGCUGAUGUACAAUUUGAAUAUAACUUUGCUUCUGGAAAUAAGUGGACUUACACUUGCAUAGAUCUUCUAGAUUUCUUACAAACCAAAUAUGCUGGGACGAGUUUUUCUCUACAAAGGAUUACCUUACAAAAAUCGUCAGAAUUCCAGUCCAUUUAUGUGGAUGCAGUGUACAUUGGACAGACACCUACAGUCUCUGUCUUGGAUGAUAUGCCAAAGAGGAGACCUCCAGCACUAGCAAACAAAGGAAUAUUUUUAAAGCAUUUUCAGGUUAAUCGGACCAAAUUAAAUGGAUCAGCUAUGACAAUUCAGUAUUCAGUUACCAUAACUUCAUAUAACUGCAGUCAUAAUAUACCUAUGAUGGCUGUGAGCUUUGGACAGAUAAUCACAAAUGAGACCAAGAAUGAGUUGGUUUACAGAGGAAAUAAUUGGCCAGGGGAGUCAAAGAUUCGUAUUCAAAAAAUUCAGGAAGCUUCUCCACCUAUAAGCGGCAGCUUUGAUGUUCAAGCUUAUGGACAUACCCUGAAAGGCAUCCCUGCUGCUGUGCCAGCUGCAGACUUGCAGUUUGCUCUGCAAAGCCUGGAAGAAAUAGAACAAGUCUCAGUAAACAGAGAAGGAACCUGUGCUGGCUAUUCAUGGAGCAUCAGAUGGACAAGCCCCCGUGGAAAGCAACCUCUUCUGCAGAUCAAUGAUUCCAACAUUAUCGGAGAAAAGGCUAAUGUAACAGUUACCACAAUAAAGGAAGGUGGCUUAUUUAGACAACGUAUCCCUGGAGACAUGCUUCGUACACUGAAUCAGCAACCACAGGUUGAAGUCUAUGUCAAUGGAAUUCCAGCCAAAUGUUCAGGUGACUGUGGGUUUACAUGGGAUGCCAUGAUUACUCCCCUGAUCUUGACAACAACACCUUCCGAAGGAUCCUAUGCAGAAAGCACGAUUCUAACCAUAGCAGGCUCUGGAUUUUCUCCCACCUCAGCUGUAUCCGUCUCUGUUGGUUCUACCAGAUGCUCUCUUCUCUCUGUGGAGGAAAAUGAGAUCAAGUGCCAGAUUCUGAAUGGAAGUGCUGGACAUGUACCAGUUGCUGUGUCCAUUGCUGAUGUUGGACUAGCACAGAAUCUAGAGGGUGAGGGAUCCCACUUCAUUUAUCGGAGUCAGAUCUCACAUGUCUGGCCUGAUUCUGGAAGCCUGGCAGGUGGUACUCUGCUGACAAUAUCUGGAUUUGGUUUUAGUGAAAAUUCAACAGUUUUAGUUGGAAAUGAAACCUGCAAUGUGAUCGAAGGAGAUUUGAAUAGGAUAACCUGCAGAACAUCAAAAAGAAUUGAGGGUACAGUUGAUAUUUCUGUCAUUACCAAUGGAAUUCAAGUCACAGCAAAGGACAGUUUUAGUUACAGCUGCUUACAAACACCAGUUGUCACUGACUUCAGCCCAAAAGAACGGACAGUUCUGGGAAAGGUCAAUUUAACAAUUAAAGGUUAUAACUUUGGAAAUGAACUCGCACAAAAUACGGUGUAUGUUGGAAGAAAGCACUGCCAGGUACUUCACUCAAACUUCACAGACAUUACAUGCCUUUUGCCCACGUUACCUCCAGGAAAACAUGAUAUCUAUGUGAAAGUCAGAAACUGGGGUUUGGCGUCAACAAGGAACAAGUUAAAUGCUUCCAUACUGUACAUUUUGGAAGUCAUCCACAUGUUUCCCCAGAGAGGCUCUUUGUAUGGUGGCACUGAAAUCACUAUAAUGGGUUUUGGGUUCAGCACAAUACCAACUGAGAAUUCUGUUCUCUUAGGCUCCUUCCCAUGUGACAUUACAUCAUCAUCAGAAAAUGUCAUCAAAUGUACUCUCCAUUCAACAGGGACAGUAUUCAGAAUUACCAACAACGGUUCACAUUUAGUGCAUGGACUAGGUUAUGCCUGGUCACCAUCAGUCUUAAAUGUGACUGUGGGCGAUACCGUGGUGUGGUCCUGGCAAGCACACCCCUUUCUUAGGGGUAUAGGGUACAGAAUUUUCUCAGUCUCCAGUCCCGGAAGUGUAACUUAUGAUGACAAAGGAUUUACAAAUGGGAGACAAAAAUCUGCAUCCGGUUCAUUUUCUUACCAGUUUACUUCCCCUGGAAUCUAUUACUACAGCAGCGGGUAUGUUGAUGAGGCUCACUCCAUAUCUCUCCAAGGAGUCAUUAAUGUUUUUCCAGCUGAAGCCAGGCACAUUCCCCUGUACCUGUUUGUGGGAAACAUUGAGGCGACAUAUGUUCCAGCAGGCCCUGCGCAUUUACAGUUGGCAAGUACUGCAGCAGGCUGCCUAGCAACAGAACCCCUGUGUGGUCUGAAUGAUACAAGGGUUAAACAUUCAAAUAAAUUAUUCUUCGAGCUUUCAAAUUGCAUUUCACCCUCUAUCAUCAACAUUACUCCCUCUACCGGAACAGCAAAUGAACUUAUAACUAUCAUUGGACAUGGCUUCAGUAGUCUUCCAUGUGCUAAUAAGGUUACAAUUGGUAGCUACCCUUGUGUUGUAGAAGAAAGUAGUGAAAAUUCUAUUAUAUGUCAUAUUGACCCACAAAACUCAAUGAAUGUUGGCAUUAGAGAAAUUGUUACUUUGAUUGUCUACAACCUGGGCACUGCUAUCAACACACUGACCAAAGCAUUUGACAGGCGGUUUGUACUUUUGCCAAACAUAGAUAUGGUGAUGCCAAAAGCAGGGUCAACUACAGGAAUGACAAGGGUAACCAUACAAGGCUCUGGAUUUAUGUCUUCUCCUGAAGGUGUAGAAGUCUUUAUGGGUGAUUUCCCAUGUAAAGUUCUAUCUGUGACCUACACAGCUAUUGAAUGUGAAACAUCUCCGGCUCCCCAACAGCUUGUUCUUGUAGACAUUCUAAUACAUGGAGUGCCUGCCCAAUGUCAGAGCAACUGCAGCUUUUCAUAUUUAGAAAACAUUGCUCCCUAUGUAACAGGAAUCUUCCCAAACUCAAUCCAAGGAUAUGGAAAUGUCCUCAUCAAAGGAGAACGUUUUGGGACAGUGUUGGAAGAGAUUUCUAUAUUUAUUGGAAGUCAGCAAUUCAGAGUAAUAGAUGUUAAUGAAAAUAAUAUUACUGUCCUCAUGACUCCACUAGAAGCUGGACUUCAUUCUCUCAGUGUUGUUGUUGGGUCUAAGGGCUUGGCUCUAGGAAAUCUAACCAUCAGCAGCCCUGCAGUAGCUUCUGUCUCACCAACCUCUGGAAGCAUUGCUGGUGGAACGACUUUGAUGAUAACAGGCAAUGGAUUUUCUCCUGGAAACACCACAGUUACUGUUGGGGAUCAGCCUUGUCAAAUUACGUUCAUCAGCUCCAGUGAGGUCUACUGUAGCACCCCAGCUGGGAGAGCUGGUACAGCCAAUCUGAAGAUUAGUGUCAAUGCGAUCAUCUACCCACCUUUGUCAUUUACAUAUGCCAUGGAAGAUACUCCAUUUCUCAAAAGAAUCAUCCCUAAUAGAGGUCUACCAGGAACUGAAGUUGAAAUAACUGGGUCUAAUCUUGGAUUUGCUAUCUCCGAUGUUUCAGUGAUGAUAAAAGAGAGUGUAUGUAAUGUGACCACUGUCAAUGACACUGUGUUACAGUGCACUGUGGGAGAGCAUGCAGGGGGCAUUUUCCCUGUGACGAUGCUUCAUAAGACAAAAGGCUCUGCUGUCUCCUCUGUUGCAUUUGAGUACCCACUUUCUAUUCAGAAUAUUUAUCCAACACAAGGGAGCUUUGGUGGUGGGCAAACCUUGACUGUGACAGGCAUGGGAUUUGAUCCAUGGAAUUCAACCAUAUUGGUCUGUAACUCUGAAUGUGCAGUUGACAAACUAAGAUCUAACUCUACAACACUGUUCUGUGUGAUUCCUCCUAACAAUGGCAAGGGACAUGAUCAAGUCUGUGGAGUGAGUGUGGUCAACGGGAAAGACUCAUCUCAUUCCACGAAGCUAUUUACAUACACCUUGUCGCUGACUCCCCUCAUCACUGAAAUAUCUCCCAGGAGAGGCAGCACUGCUGGGGGCACCAGGCUUACAGUCACAGGAUCUGGAUUCAGUGAAAACACACAGGGUGUUCAAGUCUUCGUAGGCAACAGCAAAUGUGAUAUCCAAUAUUCCAACAAGACACAUAUCGUCUGCAUGACAAGUGUUCAUGUUCCUUCAGGAUGGGUUCCAGUUCAUGUCAACAUCAAAAACAUCGGCCUGGCCAAAUUGGAGAAUGCUGACUUCUUAUAUGCCGAUGUUUGGUCUGCCAACUCCUCAUGGGGAGGAAGUCCACCACCAGAGGAAGGAUCACUUGCCGUUAUUACAAAAGGGCAGAUAAUUCUGCUGGACCAAAGUACUCCUAUUCUUAAAAUGUUACUCAUUCAAGGUGGGACUCUGAUAUUUGAUGAAGCUAAUAUUGAACUCCAGGCAGAAAAUAUCCUAAUCACAGAUGGGGGCGUACUUCAGAUUGGGACAGAAGCAUCCCCGUUCCAACACCGGGCUGUCAUUACUCUUCAUGGGCAUCUUAGAUCUCCUGAGCUCCCUGUAUAUGGAGCUAAGACAUUGGGAGUACGUGAGGGCACACUGGAUCUUCACGGUCUGCCUAUUCCUGUGGUCUGGACUCGCUUGACCCAUACGGCAAAUGCAGGAGAAUGGACUUUAACUGUACAAGAAGCAGUGACAUGGAAGGCAGGAGAUAACAUUGUGAUUGCAAGCACAGGACACAGACACAGCCAAGCAGAGAAUGAGAAGCGGACCAUCGCGUCGGUGUCCGCUGAUGGAAUGCACAUAACCUUAACUAAGCCACUCAACUACACACACUUGGGAAUUACCACCACACUUCCCGAUGGAACUGUGUUUGAAGCCAGGGCAGAAGUUGGAAUUCUUACAAGAAAUAUUUUAAUAAGAGGGUCUGAUAAUGUGGAGUGGAAUGACAAGAUUCCAUCAUGUCCCGAUGGAUUUGAUACAGGAGAAUUUGCUACACAGACAUGCCUUCAAGGAAAGUUUGGAGAAGAAAUGGGAAGUGACCAGUUUGGAGGCUGUAUUAUGUUGCAUGCUCCCUUACCUGGGGCUGACAUGGUAACUGGAAGAAUAGAAUACGUAGAGGUGUUCCAUGCUGGUCAAUCUUUCCGUUUGGGACGAUACCCAAUACAUUGGCACCUGCUUGGAGAUUUACAGUUCAAAUCCUAUGUGAAAGGCUGUGCAAUUCAUCAAUCAUACAACAGAGCUAUUACAAUCCACAAUACGCAUCACCUUCUUGUGGAGAGGAAUAUUAUAUAUGAUAUAAAAGGAGGAGCAUUUUUCAUAGAAGAUGGUAUUGAACAUGGCAACAUUCUGCAAUAUAAUCUGGCAGUCUUUGUACAGCAAAGUACCAGUCUACUGAAUGAUGAUGUGACCCCAGCUGCAUUCUGGGUAACCAAUCCUAACAACACCAUUCGACACAAUGCGGCUGCUGGGGGCACUCACUUUGGCUUUUGGUACAGAAUGAAUGACCACCCUGAUGGCCCAUCUUUUGACCGAAACAUUUGCCAAAAACGAAUUCCGCUUGGAGAAUUCUUUAACAAUACUGUUCAUUCUCAGGGGUGGUUUGGACUGUGGAUUUUUGAAGAGUAUUUCCCCAUGCAAACAGGAUCUUGUACCUCUACAGUGCCAGUGCCUGCCAUCUUUAACUCACUCACUGUGUGGAACUGUCAAAAAGGAGCUGAAUGGGUGAACGGAGGGGCCCUGCAGUUCCACAACUUUGUGAUGGUGAACAACAAUGAGGCUGGCAUUGAGACCAAGAGGAUCCUGGCUCCCUAUGUUGGAGGAUGGGGGGAAAGCAAUGGAGCUGUGAUUAAAAAUGCCAAAAUCGUUGGUCAUCUUGAUGAGCUGGGAAUGGGACCCACAUUUUGCACUUCAAAAGGCCUGGUUCUCCCAUUUAGUCAAGGCCUGACUGUGUCGUCUGUGCACUUUAUGAAUUUUGACCGCCAUGCCUGUGUGGCUUUAGGAGUAACAUCAAUCACUGGGGUGUGUAAUGACAGAUGUGGAGGCUGGAGUGCUAAGUUUGUUGGCAUCCGGUAUUUUCAUGCACCCAAUAAGGGUGGUUUUCGUUGGGAACACGAAGCAGUACUGAUUGACGUUGACGGCUCACUAACAGGGCACAGAGGGCACACUGUCGUUCCACACAGCUCCUUACUGGACCCUUCACACUGUACUCAAGAGCCUGCAUGGAGCAUUGGUUUUCCUGGCUCCAUCUGUGAUGCCUCUGUCAGCUUCCACCGGCUAGCAUUCAACAAGCCUUCCCCAGUAUCUUUACUUGAAAAAGAUGUGGUUCUUUCAGACUCUUUUGGCACUAGCAUUGUUCCCUUUCAGAAGAAACGACUGACCCAUAUGUCAGGGUGGAUGGCUCUGAUUCCAAAUGCAAAUCACAUUAACUGGUAUUUUAAAGGUGUGGAGCACUUAACCAACAUAUCAUAUACUUCCACAUUCUAUGGAUUUAAGGAAGAAGACUAUGUAAUUAUAUCACAUAACUUCACUCAAAAUCCUGAUAUGUUUAAUGUUGUUGAUAUGAGGAAUGGCUCCGCAAACCCAUUGAAUUGGAAUUCUAGUAAGAAUGGAGACUGGCAUCUUGAAGCAAACACCAGUACUCUCUAUUAUUUGGUGUCAGGGAGAAGUGACCUACCUCAGAGCCAGCCCAUCUCUGGGACCCUAGAUCCUGGUGUGAAGGAUGUGAUUAUUAAUUUCCAAGCUUACUGCUGUGUUCUCCAAGACUGCUUUCCAGUUCAUCCACCAUCAAGAAAACCAAUUCCCAGGAAACGACCAGCCGCUUACAAUUUAUGGUCCAAUGAGUCCUUCUGGCAAUCAUCCCCAGAGAACAAUUAUACUGUACCUCGCCCAGGAGCAAAUGUGAUUAUUCCUGAAGGAACAUGGAUUGUAGCUGAUGUGGAUAUACCCCCAGUGGAAAGACUCAUUAUUUGGGGAGUUCUAGAAAUGGAAGAUAAAUCUGAGAUAGGAGUAGCAGGCCCCACCUAUAGAAGAGUUGUUUUAAAUGCCACCUACAUAUCAGUACAGGGAGGGAGAUUAAUUGGUGGCUGGGAAGAUAACCCCUUUAAAGGAGAAUUACAGAUUGUUCUUCGAGGAAAUCAUUCUACCCCAGAAUGGGCUUUUCCAGACGGACCGAAUCAAGGGGCAAAGGUGUUAGGAGUGUUUGGUGAGCUGGACCUGCAUGGACUUCCACAUUCAGUUUAUAAAACUAAACUGUUAGAAACUGCGGAAGCAGGCUCCAAAAUCUUAUCUCUAGUGGAUGCUGUGGAUUGGCAGGAGGGAGAAGAUGUUGUAAUAACUACCACAAGCUAUGAUUUACACCAGACGGAGAUCAGAAGGAUUGCUAAAAUCCUACAUGGGCACAAAAUUCUCAUCCUCAAUGAUAGCCUUUCCUACACUCACCUUGCUGAAAGACAGUGGAUCUCUGGAACAGCUCAGAGCUACACAUUAUCAGCUGAUGUUGGGAUACUGAGUAGGAACAUCAAAAUAGUUGGUGACGAUUACUCGGUUUUGUCCAAAGACUCUUUUGGUGCACGGAUCCUAGUUGGCUCAUUCACUGGAAACAUGAUGACAUUUAAAGGAAAUGCAAGAAUAAGUAAUGUGGAAUUUCAUCACAGUGGUCAAGAAGGCUACAGGGAUAGCACCGAUCCAAGAUAUGCUGUGACAUUUCUUAACCUGGGACAGAUUCAAGAUCAUGGCUUGUCUUAUGUUCGAGGCUGUGCAUUUCAUCAUGUGUUCUCCCCAGCAAUUGGUGUGUUUGGGACUGAUGGGGUGGACAUAGAUGACAACAUCAUCUACUUUACAGUAGGAGAAGGUAUAAGAAUAUGGGGGGAUGCCAACAGAGUACGUGGAAAUUUGGUCACCCUUUCAGUUUGGCCAGGAACCUACCAGAACAGAAAAGACUUGAGUUCGACACUUUGGCAUGCAGCAAUUGAGAUAAACAGAGGGACCAAUACAGUCUUACAAAAUAAUGUAGUCGCUGGAUUUGGAAGAGUAGGAUACCGCAUUGAUGGUGAACCAUGCUCAAGCCAGGCUAAUUCCAUGGAAAACUGGUUUAACAAUGAAGCCCAUGGAGGUUUGUAUGGCAUCUACAUGAACCAGGAUGGCCUUCCUGGUUGUUCUCUUAUUCAAGGAUUUACUAUUUGGACAUGCUGGGACUAUGGAAUUUAUUUUCAGACCACGGAGAGCGUGCAUAUCUAUAACGUGACGCUGGUGAACAACGGGAUGAGCAUCUUUUCAAUGGUCUACAUGCCACCUUCUGUGUCCCACAAAAUUUCCAGCAAAACAGUAAAAAUUAAGAACUCAUUAAUUGUUGGAAGCAGCCCUGAGUUUAACUGUUCUGACGUCUUAACUAAUGACAGUCCUGAUGUAGAACUCACCUCUGCACAUCGAAGUUCUAGGCCCCCGUCAGGUGGGAGAAGUGGGAUUUGCUGGCCAACAUUUGCUUCAGCUCAUAACAUGGCACCUCGGAAGCCUCAUGCCGGGAUCAUGAGUUACAAUGCAAUCAGUGGCCUUUUGCAUGUCUCAGAUUCAACAUUUGUUGGAUUUAAGGAUGUUUGUUCAGGAGAAACUAAUGUGAUAUUCAUUACUAAUCCUUUAAAUGAAGACUUACAGCAUCCAAUCCAUGUGAAGAAUGUCCAACUCAUUGACACUAUUGAACAAUCCAAAGUAUUCAUACAUAGACCUGAUAUAAGUAAAGUGAACCCAUCUGAUUGUGUGGACAUGGUUUGUGAUGCCAAGAGAAAAUCUUUUCUUAGAGACCUGGAUGGUUCCUUUCUGGGGAAUUCUGGGUCAGUGAUCCCUCAAGCUGAGUAUGAGUGGGAUGGAAACAGCCAACUGGGAAUUGGAGACUACAGAAUUCCAAAGGCGAUGCUCACAUACUUGAAUGGAAGUAGAAUUCCUGUAACUGAGAAAGCACCUCAUAAAGGGAUUAUUAGAGAUGCAACCUGUAAAUACAUCCCAGAGUGGCAGAGCUAUCAGUGUUCUGGAAUGGAAUAUGCAAUGAUGGUACUGGAAAGCCUGGAUUCUGACACAGAGACACGAAGACUAUCCCCAGUGGCUAUCAUGAGCAAUGGUUAUGUUGAUCUCAUUAAUGGCCCACAGGACCAUGGCUGGUGUGCGGGGUAUACAUGCCAAAGAAGACUGUCUCUGUUCCAUGGCAUAGUGGCUCUGAACAAAAAGUAUGAGGUUUACUUUACCGGGACCAGUCCUCAGAAUCUUCGGCUGAUGUUGCUUAAUGUUGAACAUAAUAAGGCAGUUCUAGUAGGAAUUUUUUUUUCCACACUUCAGCGUCUGGAUGUCUAUGUGAACAAUUCCUUGGUCUGUCCCAAAAAUACAGCAUGGAAUGCCCAAAAGAAACACUGUGAACUUGAAAGGCAUCUGAGCACAGAACAAUUCCUUCCUAACUUGGGUUCCACUGUCCCUGGUGAAAACUACUUUGAUAGAACCUACCAGAUGCUGUACCUUUUCCUGAAAGGAACUACACCUGUGGAGGUCCACACUGCUACUGUCAUCUUUGUAUCUUUCCACCUGCCGGUUAUGACAGCAGAUGAGUUUUUUAGCUCACACAACCUGGUUAGAAAUCUUGCCUUGUUCCUAAAAAUACCAAGUGACAAAAUCCGUGUCAGCAGAAUAAUAGGAGCAAGUCUGAGAAAGAAGCGAUCCACAGGACACAUAAUGGAAUUUGAGAUUGGGGCUGCUCCCACUCAGUUCUUGAGCAAUUCUACCACAGGUCAAAUGCAGUUGUCUGAGCUCCAGGAAAUUACUGACUCUCUUGGACAAGCUGUUGUCCUAGGAAAAAUUAGUACUAUUCUUGGAUUCAAUAUUUCUUCCAUGUCUAUUACCAGUCCCAUCCCCCAACCAACUGAUUCUGGCUGGAUUAAGGUGACUGCCCAGCCAGUUGAAAGAUCUGCAUUUCCCGUUCACUACCUGGCCCUUGUGUCUUCACUCUCAGUGGUUGCUCAGCCAGUGGCAGCCCAGCCCGGACAGCCCUUUCCUCAGCAGCCCUCAGUAAAGGCAGUAGAUCCUGAGGGUAACUGUGUAUCAGUUGGAAUUACAUCGCUUACUUUGAAGGCUAUCCUAAAGGACUCCAAUAACAACCAAGUUGGUGGCCUUAGUGGAAAUACAACAAUUCCAUUUAGCACCUGUUGGGCCAACUAUACAGACCUCACUCCUCACAGAACAGGAAAAAAUUAUAAAAUUGAAUUUGUCCUGGAUAAUACUGUUCGUGUGGAUUCACGACCCUUCAGCCUGUCAGCACAGAGUGUCCCUGGUGGCAGUGGAAGUAGCCCGGGUAGUGGCAGCAGCAGCAGUGGCCACAGCAAAGCCUCCUCUGUGGGGACACCUGUCCAGACACUGGCUGUCAUAACAGCGUGCCUUGUAGGAAGACUACUGCUCUUGGAAGUAUUUAUGGCUGCAGUUUUCAUUUUGAACACAACUGUAGAUCUUGCAGCUAAGUCAUUGAGCUGGAUUGAGACACAUGCUUAUCUGUGAACCAGUUAACUGUGGCCACAAGGGCUCUAAUUGGCUUGGCUUGAGUAACAUCAAGGAAUCAACUGAGGUGCCCUACGGAAGAACAGGCUGAAAACAAAACCGGACUACUACUGAUGCAGCAGCUACUUGGCUGCACAGCGAGAAAUAAACCUACAGAAUGUUCAAGGAAAUAUUGCUAAAAUAUUUUUGUAAUAUUUGAUAUGUAAUCAUUACAUUUAGUCAAAAAAUUCAGAUUUCUAGAAAAUAUAAAGUUUUUUUUUGUCGAUUCCUCA